GAGUUUGAUCGUGGCUCAGAUUGAACGCUGGCGGCAGGCCUAACACAUGCAAGUCGAGCGGAUGAAGGGAGCUUGCUCCUGGAUUCAGCGGCGGACGGGUGAGUAAUGCCUAGGAAUCUGCCUGGGUAGUGGGGAGUAACGUACCGGAACCGGGACGGCUAAUAACCGCCAUACGUCCUCGAGGGGAGGAAAGUAGGGGGAGGUCUUCGGUACCGUCCACGCUAUCAGAUGAGCCUACGGUCGGGAGUUAGUCUAG
rnacentral:rRNA from 1 species